UAGGGAAUAUUGGGCAAUGGGCGAAAGCCUGACCCAGCCAUGCCGCGUGCAGGAAGACGGCUUUCGGGUUGUAAACUGCUUUUAUACGGGAAGAAAAAUACUUUGCGAAGUGUUAUGACGGUACCGUACGAAUAAGCACCGGCUAACUCCGUGCCAGCAGCCGCGGUAAUACGGAGGGUGCGAGCGUUGUCCGGAUUUAUUGGGUUUAAAGGGUACGUAGGCGGUAUAUUAAGUCAGUGGUGAAAUUCUACGGCUCAACUGUAGGCGUGCCAUUGAUACUGGUAUACUUGAGUGUUGUAAGGGUGGGCGGAAUUCCGCAUGUAGCGGUGAAAUGCAUAGAUAUGCGGAGGAACACCAAAAGCGAAGGCAGCCCACUAGGCAACAACUGACGCUGAGGUACGAAAGCGUGGGGAGCGAACAGGAUUAGAUACCCCCGUAGUCC
rnacentral:rRNA from 1 species